CUGUUUCCAUCAGAAUGCCAUGUUUCAAAUGACCACAGCUGAGAUGGAGUCUGAGAUCUUUACAUCCUCAGGUCACAUGCUAUGAUGAUAUCCUGCACAUGUCUCUUAAAGAAUGUGGAACUGUUGGCUUGGAGAACGUGGUGAUGACAGUGAACUAUCUUCCUGAACUUCUGCAGCCCAUGUGGUAUAACUACAAUUAGCCAAGAGUUCUGCUCAAAACCCCAUUGACUUCAAAUUUGCGAGAGAUCCUUACUGCUAUACUUGAUAAAAAGUCAAGAGAUGUCAUUUGAACCCACCUUUGGAGUUUAAUCUUCACCAAAACUCUAAUGAGGUCACCUUGAUGGAAUCCAGACCAAACUUCAUUGAGCAACGUUAAUGAUGAGUAAGCACCAGUUCAUAGCAAUGGCAGAGACAGAAAUCAUGGGAUCUGGUGCUUCUUCUGUUUCCAGGCACCUUGGAUCUCUUCCAUAUUGGUCCCCUUUAAUCUUCAACAACUUCUGUGAUGCAUCAUGUUUUGGAUCUAAUAGAAUACAGUCAUGGAACAGCGAAGGAGGCUAUUUAACCCACCAAGACUUCCAUAGUACUUUCAAAGGGAAAUUCAGUUAAUCCCACUACUACCUUGUUCCAUUUAUUUUUAAUUUCCUCUUCUGCAAAUAUUCAUCACAAUUCCUUUUAUAACACUCAUUGAAACUGUAAUUAUCACAAUAGUUGGAAGGUGUGUAUUCUAAAUUCUAACCAAUGCUUCUGUAAAAUCUCUUCCAUCUGUUUCAUUUGGUUCAUUUCUCAAUAAAUGUAAAUAAAUUGAAUCUGGGCCAUCUGAUUAUCGAUCCAUCACCCAUUGGAAAUGCUCUCUACUCUGUACCCUCAUAAUUUCAUAUGUCUCCAGCAAAUCUACACAGACCUCUUGGCCCUCGGGAGAGCCAACACAGCUUCUCUGUAAUCUCUACUCCUGUCGGCAUUCUAGUAGAUCUCUUCUGAAUACUCUAUA